rnacentral:rRNA from 1 species
GAUGAACGCUGGCGGCGUGCCUAAUACAUGCAAGUCGAGCGAACAGACGAGGAGCUUGCUCCUCUGACGUUAGCGGCGGACGGGUGAGUAACACGUGGAUAACCUACCUAUAAGACUGGGAUAACUUCGGGAAACCGGAGCUAAUACCGGAUAAUAUAUUGAACCGCAUGGUUCAAUAGUUAAAGACGGUUUUGCUUUCACUUAUAGAUGGAUCCGCGCCGCAUUAGCUAGUUGGUAAGGUAACGGCUUACCAAGGCGACGAUGCGUAGCCGACCUGAGAGGGUGAUCGGCCACACUGGAACUGAGACACGGUCCAGACUCCUACGGGAGGCAGCAGUAGGGAAUCUUCCGCAAUGGGCGAAAGCCUGACGGAGCAACGCCGCGUGAGUGAUGAAGGUCUUCGGAUCGUAAAACUCUGUUAUUAGGGAAGAACAAAUGUGUAAGUAACUAUGCACGUCUUGACGGUACCUAAUCAGAAAGCCACGGCUAACUACGUG